rnacentral:rRNA from 1 species
UACGUAGGUGGCAAGGGUUGUCCGGAAUUAUUGGGCGUAAAGCGCGCGCAGGCGGUCCUUUAAGUCUGAUGUGAAAGCCCACGGCUCAACCGUGGAGGGUCAUUGGAAACUGGGGGACUUGAGUACAGAAGAGGAAAGCGGAAUUCCACGUGUAGCGGUGAAAUGCGUAGAGAUGUGGAGGAACACCAGUGGCGAAGGCGGCUUUCUGGUCUGUAACUGACGCUGAGGCGCGAAAGCGUGGGGAGCAAACAGG